UAAAACUUACAGAGACAUGGUUUUAAACAAAAAGAUUGUGGCUAGAAAAGUACGGAUCUGCUGGGUUACCUGGGUAUGUAUACGUAGGUGCAGAUUGUCCAUGUCUCUUCCCAUGAGACUAACCUGCACAGCAUAAACCCAGAGCGAAUUUGCGCAAACGGUCAUGGAAGUACUCGAAGACCCAACGGUUGAUGGAACCCAUCUGGGUGGAACCGUAAGAUGUAAGGUGAUGCGAAGAAGUCAUACGAGUACCGCAGAUUCGGCUGAUGGAUUUCAGUUUUUUGCGUACCGCGGCAGGAGCGCUGGGACAGCAAAAUCGACAACGGAUUCCCAGCAGACGUCAAAGCGAUCGAUGAAGCGCGAGAUCUUCUGCUUUCCCGGUUGGAUCUCCAUGGUCCAUAUCUCCGUGUUGAUUGUGCGCAGCAGAUGAUCCUUAAUAACCAUUAAGUCUGUCGAAGCUUGCUUACUUUAAUCUGUAUUUGAACACAAAG